rnacentral:sRNA from 1 species
UUUGUGUAAAGUUUCCUGGAGUACAUUGAAAAUAAAUAGUGCAGCCGAUGGUCUUGUAAGAUGAAGAACGUUCGUGAGACUAUAUCAGUUUCUGAAACGGUUUCCACAAAUUGGGAUUCGUUUAAAUCAAGAUACAAAGUAAUGAGUUGACAGUGGUCAUGGCGAUGAGGGUGACAGUCUAGGUUUCUUGGGCUCUGUUGCGUGGCAGAUUUUCAGCUACAGACUUGACAUCGCAGAGUAAACUCCUGCCCGUUCUACCUAGAUCAAGGAUAGCUUUGGGCAUGCCACCCCAAUACACGUGAUGCUCGAGUUUGGCUUGAGUCUAGUCUAGGCCUAAGCAUUGAGUAGGGUGAGCUACGUCAGAUCAGGAAGAAUAUAGAAAGGCAAAAUUCCUCAGACUGCGGCAUGGAUUAGAAGGCUUGUUCCUUCUCACAUCUCUUCAGUGUCAGGCAAAAUUUCUGUAUGAGCAAAAGUCUCAGAAUAAAAUUCCUAUCAGCUACGUUGUUAGGAACGUAUCUCAGUUAGGGUUUCACUGCUGUGAAGAGACACCAUGACCAAGGCAACUCUUACAAUAAAGGCAAACAUUUCAUUGGAGGCUGGCUUACAAUUUCAGAGGUUUAGUCCUUUAUCAUUAUGGUGGGCAGCAUAGCCACAUUCAGGUAGGCAUGGUAUUAGAGAAGCCGAGACUUCUACACCUCGAGUAGGCAGCAGGAGGGAACUCUCUUCAGCAGGCAGCCAGGAGGAAACUACCUUACUGGGCCACAGUUUGAGCUUAGGAGACCUCACAACCUGGCCCACACAGCGACACACUUCCUCCAACAAGGCCACACCCACGACAAUGAAGCCACACCUCCUAAUAGUGCCACGCCUCAUGGGCCAAGCAUCCGAACACAGGAGUCUGUGGGGGUCAAUCUGUUCAAAACUGCACAGGGAACUCUCCUCGUUUCCAAGAUUCCAAAUCCAUACAUCUUGUCAUCCAACGGUAAGAGAAGUGUUCACCACAGCCUGGGCUGAGCAGUUUCCUGAGAGACUCAACAACACUGAAAAUACUUGAAAGAAAUAUUCAGAGCCACUUUCAAAGAGUCGGAACAUCAGGCUGGCGAUUUACAGCGGGGUGUUUGAUACGAUGUCAUGUAUCUUUAGAUCUCUAAUUCUCAAAGGUAAAUGGGUGAUAUCAUCCUCGUAUGUUGCCAUGGUCUCCGAGGGACAGAUUUGUGCCUCAAGUAUUUGUUGAUUAUAUUAAUGAUCAUAUUGACCUCAUAAGUGAGUUGGGACUUAAGGAGUUGGAGUCAGAGUUCUGUGCUGGGAAGCAUGCUUGUCUCCACUUUGAAUUUUAUUGCCUCAGCCUCCCUUCUUGGCACUUACCCUAUAUCCAUCUCCUCCACACCAAACUGUCUGAAUUGGAACAUCAGCAAAUGCAAGCGAACCUCAUUUACCUAAGUUUAUAAUGUCCUCCAGUCAGUGUACACACACACACACACACACACACACACACACACACACACACACAGGCACGCACACGUGUCGGGAGGGCCCAGAUUUCACUACCGUCGAUGGGAGUAUCUGUGUUUGCAAGUGUGUGUGUGUGUGUGUGUGUGUGUGUGUGUGUGUGUGCACGCGUGUGUGUUGCCAAUAUGAGAAGGACUCGUCUUUCUACACCCCUGCUAAUCUCUAAAAUGUCCAAUGUAUCAUUUCCAAAGCAAUAUUUUAAUAAGAAAUUGCAAAGAAAACUACAUUUGGGUACCAAACCUUGUGACCGAGAGCAGAAGUGAAAAAAAGUAGCAUUCACCUAAAGGAGAAUUAACUUCCCAUCCGCCUCUGCAGUUUCUGCCCUUACUUCAUAGCCGACAUAUUCUUGCUCAAGCCAUAAUUGCUCAGUGCUGUUGUCCUCCAGUCCCACAGCUCUCCAGCCUCCCACCCCACCCCACCCCCCUUCUCUGAGGCACGUAUCAUUAGCUGAUGCAAUUUGUUGGGACCUAGAUCUGCCUCCUGUCUCCCGGGGAGAGAUAUGGAGAAGGAGGAGGUCUUCUGCACAUAAAACAGUUUCCUGACUGCACCACACAGGUUUGAGGCUCCUCUCCAGAGGAGGCAGGGCACAACAUCAGGUUACACCAGGCUGGGAAACCUCACCCUGCAGUCCUCUGCUCUAAGUCUGGAUUUCUUCCCUGUGGGAAGCAACUCCUUUCCUCUUCCUAUGACCACUCUGCUCAUUAAAGACUCACAUCCUCUGCUUCACGUGAACGUCCAAGGAACACGGUACGGAAGACAAGUAUAGCUGUGGUUCUGCUGUGGCUCUUCUCCAUGAAGUGAACGAAGAACAGCCUUGAGUACCACACUGGAGUCUGACUUUACGAAGGUUCCUGAGAGAGGGGGCCAGGCAACAGACAUGGCUUUUUGUUUUGUUUUGUUAUGUUUUUAGUUGUUCUUGUUUUAAAAGAAGGGACAGUUUCUUAUUAAAGUAGGUAUUUAUUUA